CCAUUGAGCAUGCAUAAUUACCCAGCCCCUUUUCACUAGCCAAGUCCCAAAUAUUUAUUACAAAUUAUUACAAAACUGAAUAAUGAAUUACAUCAAGGAAGUAUAAAAGAAAGAGUUACAACCAGAGGAAGCCUGAUUCUUGUCUUCCUCUCUGAGUUAUGGAAUAAACCACCUCAAAUGUCAUUGUUUCAAAGCCUUUCUUAGACUUGAGUGUGUCAAAGUUCCCUAAGAGUCUCAAGAGGACCCCGGACAGUGCUCACACCUAAGUUGCAUAACCAGAUAGAGAUGAGUGCAGUGUGGAAGGGCCAGCCCUUAUGUGUCCAAGUUUAGAGAGAGCUCAUGGGUCCCAAGAAAAGGCUCACAUAAGAGGGGCAGAACUUAAGUCUAAGAAUAUGGUGGAAAUGCAGAAGCAGAGAUUUGUUUAAAAAAAGGCAGGAUUGAGAAUAGUAAGGGAUACGGGUAGUUUAAAAAAAUAGUAGUAGUAAAGCACAUUAUCAGCAAUUGCACAUAGGGGAAGGGGUUUGGGAAUACAUUGUAGAUGGCAUACGACCCUGAAAAGGGGUUAAAUCUAGACAUGCACAACAAUAAGUGAAGCUGGAAUGCCCAUAAACCAGCCAAAAGACAUAACACAUAGAGAGGAUAUGAAGCAUAUGUCCCAGGGAGGCUCAGGUUUAGGUCAUGCACAACAAUGUCUGAUGCUAACAUGCCCUCAACCAACCAAAGAAUACAAACACAUAGGGGACGGGGGUUUGGGAUUCAUAAGUAACUAACAGAGUUCAUUUAUAAGGGAAAUAUUAAUUCAGAAAAGGAAAGGCAGAUUAUAGUAUGCUUAGGAAUGAAACUCGAUUAAACACAAGCAGGAAACAGGCAAGAGUGCAGGAAAUAGUAAAUAAACAUGUUUUUGUUGAUGCUGAAGAUUAAUCAGAACAUACCAGUAAAGAAGCAAAUGCAAAAACAAAAACAGGCAAAUUUCCUCAGCCUAGCCUUGGCUUUCAGUCGGCUAGAUAAGGCAGCAACACAAGCAGUAACAGAGAAAAGAGAGAGAGAACUUUUAGUGAAGUGUGUGUUCUGAACUCAAGUGUUCGUAUUCCUUGUGUUCGUGUCUUUGAAAGAAGAGGGGUGCAGGGUAUUUAUAGCUUUUAAAAACAUGUGAGAAAUAAGGUAAUAAGUAAAGUUCAAUACAAAUAUGGAAAUAAUCAACAGUCAGAAUCAAUCAACCAAGUGAUUUCCCUUUAAUUGAGGAAUCACUUGGCUAACAGAUUCAAAAUAAGGAAAGAAAAUCAGUUUGUAGGCGGAUUGAUUAUUGCCAUAAAAGAAAUAGUAAAAUAUUAAGUAAGCAAUCGAGUCUAAAUACAGAACUAUACUUAUUUUGGGAAAGGAUUCAGCAAGGCAAAAUAAUAAAAGGAAUCAAUUAACCUUGACAGGCGAGUGAAAUUAGAAUUCGUAAAAGAAAGGUUUUGAAAUCAGUUACGAGAUUGAAGAUCAACCAAGAAGUAACAUGCUUCUGCACUUUAGUAUUUAAACAGGGUGAGCAGGGACACCAGACAUGCGAGGCCAAAUUCAUUGGCAAAAGAGACAGCAUACAGUAGUAGUACAAAGUUCAGUAUAUAGCAAAUAUUCGAAGCAUGAUAGUCAAAUAGGUCAAGUCCAACUGAAGCAAUAGUGGAGAAAAAUAGUGUAUCAGAAGCAUGCAAUGGUCCCACAGUAACAGAUGAGAAACCUUUUGAAAAGUUAGGGUUUCAAGCAUAGUCGAGUUUUCAAGAUAGUAGAAACCUAGAGUCAGAGGAAUCACAUAAAGGAAAAAGAGAACAAAGAACUUCAAAUUGAGUCACGUAUUCAACUGAACAGUUUCAAACCCAAAGACAUAGUUUUUCUCAACUAUAGCAGAGCUUAAAAGGUGAUAAAUAAACAAAUCAGACAAAACUUAUCUAAACAAGUACUCGCUUGACAAACAACCAAAAGAAAUUAGGGUUUUUAGCAUGCUAACUCAGAUAGAAAAACAACAUGAGCAAAACAUAGACAUGUCAAAAAUCAGAGAAGAGAUUUGAAAUAACUUAACAGGAAAACCCUAAUCGGGAAAGAUAAAGAGUUUUGAAAGCAAAGGUAAAGAAACUUCGAGAAAAAUGAUUAAAAGUUCAAAGAAAGCAUAGAUCUAAAAUAGAUCUGAAAGAAAUUGGAAGGUCUUAGAGAUUAGGGUUUCAGAAGAACCCAAAAGCAACGAGAAAGGCCUUGAAAGUUACCGAUCUAACUAGGAAAGUCAAAGGUCUGACUCGAAUGGCCAUGGCUGGUCGGAGAAAGGUCAAAGAUGACCAGAGAAGGGCCAUGAACUAAAAUCGAACGAAGGCUGGACCAGAGUUCUUCAUAGUCUGGCCUUGAAACCAUAAGGACGAACACAUAGGAGCCAUGAAAGGCUGGUACAGGUCUCCGAUGACCUCAGAAGGCCAUGGAUUAGGUAGAUAUCAAGGUGGAUUAGGGUGGCGACGGCUAGGGUUUAGGUGGUGUUGCAGAGAUAAUUGAGAUAGAAGGGAUUCAGGGGCGACGGUAUGUGAGAAAUGAAUUAGGGUGAAGGGGUCAUUUGGGUUAAAAGGGGAAGGGGGUCAUAGGAGUCGUUGAUCUAAACGAUCAACGGCUGGGAUUAGGUAGGAGUCCGUGUGGGUCAUUUAAUUUGUUGAGGGUCGGGUAUGAGUAGGAAUUGGAUCGGGGUAAAUUGGGCUUAAAUUGGGGUAGAAUUAGGCUACAAUUGAAAUGAAAUCUGGCUAGAUUUUAAAUAGUCAUUUUCCCAUUUAUUUAAUAAAAAUAGUAAAUCAAAUUUUGGAAAUAAAUUGAAAGUACUAAAAUGAUUUAUAACAUAUAAUUAUCAAUUUUAAAAUACUGGAUUUAAUUUUUAUAAAUGUAAACGCAAUUAAAUCCUAAAAGAGGCUAAUAUUGCAAUUAUAUGCAAUUUAGCUUUAAAAAUACUAAAUAAAUUUGUAAAAAUAUGAAAAAAUCAUCUUGGCUAUAUUUUAACAUAUAUAUAAGAAUUCAAUAAAUGAAUCACCAAAAAUGAUAAUUUUGGAAAUUAUUAUUGGGUAUUUAUGAAUAAAAUAGGGGAAUAAAUUGGUUUAAAAUCUUUAAAAAUUAAGAAAAAAUAACAAAACAUUUAGUCAUAUUUAUAUAUGCAUGCAUAUGCUAUUUUGAAAGUAUUUUACAUAUUAAAAAUAUAUAGAAAAAAAUUGGGUAUCAACAACCUUGUUGGGGCUUUAUGAGCUCGGAGUUCCGACCCUAGGGUCGUGCGGGUGCCAAGUUGUUGAUGCUAAGUCUCCGAGUACUUUGGGACGCAUUUGGUGGAGGGAUCCCUACCGAGAGUAUGCUGAAAUCCGCUUUUUGGAGUGUGAGGUGCUUUUGGUGGCAGAUAUCCUUCGAUCCAUUGGUGUAGCUGUGUUGUUGUGUUGUAUAGGUCUUUGCUAGACCGAGUUUGCUCACUUGGGUUCUUAUGGCCUCGUAUUUCCAAGUGCGUAGUGAUUGGAAACAAUCCCUAGAUAUUUAAGGUACCCCCGAUGUUGGUGACACUGGGAAAUUUCCACGUUGUAUUACCCGAAGGCUUUGUAAUUUUGGAGUUUCGACCCGGAGGCCAUCUGAGCGGCAAAUUGCUGGCGUCAGUCCCGAGUGUUCGGGGCAUUUUUGGCGAGAGAAUUGUAAUAUUUCUUUGUGAAGGCGUUUAUGACAAAAUAUAUUCUUUGAUUGCUUGGUACAAUAGCACACGUAUUUGCCAACGGGAGCCUGACUAUACAGACAUGGUUUUAUCGACCAUUUGGCCUGGUACAUUGCUUCCCUUUUUCGAGCUGUAGCUUUCUGGGGGAACACCCCUCAUUGCUCAAAAGGUUGCCUACAAGAGGAGACUUGAGUAUUUGCGGAGUUUUCCUUAGGCAGCUCGCAGUCGUUGCCUCGUUAAAAACCUUGCCGGUAAAACAUCCUUCUUUUGGGACAAAAACUCAGUCGAAGGAAAAGAGUGCAACGGGUGCAUUUUUAGAGCCUUUAGGUCUUCAGGUAGUGCCAGUGCUAUGAUAGCUCCGGCUGGGUGCCUGCACAAGGGUUAGUUCUGAAUCCGAAACAAAAAAGAAGAUGGUCGUACCUUGAAGUGAGAUGCGCUGGCGAUGCCUCAGGAUUGAUUUGUUGUAAUUGCCUGAGAUGAAGAUAUGGCAUAGACUUCCGCUUUGUUUUGUCAAGUUCGAUCGAGAGUGAGACCCGAUUCGUCCUUUGGCUUAUUUGGGGGCGGAGGCAGGAACGUUGGUACCACGUCAUGUAUUGCGAACAUUUCCUUACCGCAUGUCGUUCCCCGUAGACGAUUUUGAUCCCGUCCUUUGUUGGGAAUUUUAUCAUCUGGUGAAGGGUUGAUGGAAUUGCUCUCAUGCAGUGUAUCCAUGGCCGCCCAAAUAAUACGUUAUACCUCAUGUCUCCCUCGAUGACAUGGAAUUUGGUGUCUUGAGUCGUGUUCGCCACGGUGACCGGGAGGAUGAUUUCUCCUUUCGUUGUUUCGCUUGCCAUGUUGAAUCCGUUGAGGACCCGAGUGGUGGGCACGAUUUGGUCGAGCAACCCGAGUUGUUCUAUUACCCUCGACCUGACAAUAUUGGUCGAGCUACCUGGAUCCACGAGUACACAUUUUAUUUGAAAAGAAUUUACAAAGAAGGAAAUUACCAGGGCGUCGUUAUGGGGUUGAGACAGGGUCUCGGUGUCUUCUUCGCUGAAUGUGAGGGCGUCUUCGAGGAUAUAUCCCCGAGUCCACUUUUCUUUGGUGAUGGAUAUUUUUGUUCUUCUCAUUACGGGUUCUUGCGGGGCAUCAGUGCCCCCCAUGAUCAUGUGGAUGACGUGUUGCGGCUCGUUUGCCUCGUUCUUCUUGGUUGCCUCCCUUUCUCGGAACUGAUUUUUGGCUCGAUUGCUAAGAAACACUCAGAGAUGUCCUUUGUUAAGCAGCCAAGCUACCUUCUCUCGCAGUUGAUGACAAUCGUCGGUCCUGUGACCGUGCGUGUUGUGAAACUCGCAUACUAAGUUGUAAUUCCUUUGUGAAGGAUCUGACUGCAUCGGUUUGGUCCAUUUGGCGUCUCUGAUCUUACUGAUAUCGAACACGAUGUCUAACACCUCGACGUUGAAGUUGUAUUCUGAUAGGUGGGGUGCACCUAUUGGUACUACGUUUCGAUCGAUCCUGGCUCUGUUGAUGAGCCCUCGAGGGUCCUGUCCUCGAUCCACCCUCCGAUCGUUGCUGGGUAGGUUGCGCCUCGGGGCGUUCCUCCUAUCCUCGAGGUAUGGUUGAUACCUUUCUUUGUUUGGCUUUGGUUCCUUUUCUAAGAGCCUGUUCAGGUAUACUGAGCCCGAAGGGGCUCCCAACUAGUCAUCCUCGGCUCUGAUCUUCGAUUGGUACCGGUUGUGGACGUCCGACCAGGUCACGGCCGGACACUCGAUCAGGUUUUGUUUCAGCUAUUUUGAAGCCACCGAGCUUCGUUCGUUCAGGCCUUAGGUGAAGGCCUGUACUGCCCAGUUGUCGGAGGCUGGCGGUAGCUCUAUCCGUUCCAUCUGAAAGCAGGACACAAAUUCCCGCAACAUCUCGUUCUCUCUUUGCUUGAUUUUGAAGACGUCAGACUUCCUUGUUGCUACCUUGAUGGUUCCGGCAUGCGCCUUUACGAAGGAAUCUGCUAGCAUGGCGAAUGAAUCUAUGGAAUUAGGAGCCAAGUUGUGAUACCACAUCAUAGCUCCCUUUAAGAGUGUUUCUCCGAUUUUUUUUAGCAAUACAGACUCGAUCUCAUUACCUUUAUAUCGUUGCCUUUUACUGCGCAGGUGUAGGCAGUAAUGUGUUCAUUAGGGUCAGUGGUACCGUUGUACUUAGGGAGUUCCGGCAUCCUGAACUUCUUUGGAAUGGGCUUCGGGGCCGCUUCCUCGGGGAACGACCUUUGUAUAAACUUCUUCUAAUCGAUGCCCUUGAGGACCGGGGGUGCACCCGGGAAAUGAUCGACCCUAGAGUUGUAGGUCUCGACCUUUUUAUCAUUGGUCGCUAUCAUGUUCUCCCCUGACUCGAUCCUUUUGGUGAGGUCCUCAAGCAUUUUUAUUAUGGCGGGGUCGGCUACCGAUCCGUUAUUGCUCGAUCUCUCGGGUACUUGUUCGGUUGGGGGAGCUGUUUCCGGCGUCACUGUGUUGGGAGUCUUUGGAUGACUUUGUAACUGAGUGAUGGCCAACUAUUGUGCUUGCAACAUUUCAAAAAUAACAUGAAGGCUAACUUCCUAUUCUUCCCGGGCUGAGAUUUUUUGGGCUUCCUAUCAGUCGCUAUGCCUUAUGCUUCUGUCGGUGUGUGAGGUUUCGUCGACCUGUGAGUCCGCGGAUGCGUCAUUGGGAUUCUGCGGUUGCGUUCCGGCAGCCGGGGCAGCCACGUCGUUUUCCCCGUGGUUUUUGAGAUUGUCUUUCUCGAUUUUGUUUACCGAGCCAGACAUUUUGACCUGAAAUCAAGAGAUCUUGGACAAGAAAAAGUGUGAAAGAUAACUUACGUUUUUGUAACGAAACCAGUAAGAAAAUAAUCACUAUUAUUUUUAGCCCCAUGGUGGGCGCCAAACUGUUUACCUUGAAAAUGGUAAUAAUAAUUAAAUUUGUAAAUGGGAUUCUAAAAAUACGUGAUCUAUUUUUAUGCUAGUUGUUAGAGCAAAUGAUGCUAAGAAUAUGAAGUUUGACGAUAAAAUACAAGCUAAAACGGGGCAAUGAUCAAAUCGAGGAGCCUGCUGCCCUGGCUUCAGAAUGGUCGAUGGAGGACCUCGAGGUCGAUAUCUGGGAUCGGUCUCAAGCUAUCGGGGUAGCCGGGAAUGGGAUAAUAGUUAAGAUAUGAUUAAACAAGACUCUUUAUGGCCAGUACGAAGCAAUAAAUGAAGAACAAGUGAGAAAAUAAUAAAUGCUAGAGUGGCCUCGAGCUAGUAAGAACGGGCAAGUAAGAGAGAAGAAAGAGAGACAGAGAGAUAUUAUUGAUCUUGUGGAGGAAAAUAGUUGGAGCAACAUCCGCCCCUUACAAAGUAGUGUAGGUUCCCUUUAUAUAGGAGGGGAACCCGGUUAUAGUACAACAUACAUUAAUUGUAAAGUAUGGAGAUGGGACGGCGAAAUGCGACGCUUCGACAUAGGCUCUAGACAUGCCGGCUCUGUCAGAUUUAGCCGUGUGCCUUUGGAGCUUCCCCUUCUGUCACACUUCCUUUUUACACACCCGAAGGUAGAUAUAAGGGAGUUUUUCCAAUUUAAGUGACAUUAUUCGAAAUGAGAUUAUUUAUUCAAUUUUAUUAAGAGUCGCCACUUGGGAUGGUUUGUUUUCUGGUGUCCCAAGUCACCGGUUUUAUUUUAAAUCCCAAAUCGAGGAAAAUUUGACUUUCCUUUUGAAGUCUGCGAACCAAAAAUUCUGAAUAAGGAAUUAUGUUAACCCGAGGGAAGGUGUUAGGCACCCCCGGAUUCCGUGGUUCUAGCACGGUCGCUUAAACCAUUAUAAUUGGCCUAUUAUCUGAUUUUAAUACAUGUUUAAACCUAUGAUUCAAUUUUAAAUUAUUAACCGCUUUUAAUUAAUUUUAGAAAGAUUCAAUGUCAUCUAAAACACGUCUUGAACCACGUCACAUAAAUACACUCGCGGUCCACGAUGCAUUUUAUCUAACGUUGUUGAGAUUUGGAUUUGAGUCACAUAAAUUCACACCCGAGUUUAAGGAAAUUAAUUUAAAUUACGUGCCUAAAGCAACUACGUACUUUUGAGUUUGCGAGGUCCAUGGAAAAUUCAAUUAAAUGGCACGCCUCGAUUUCUAAAGGAUUAAAAAUAAUUAAGUGAGGGCCAUGAGUUUUGAGAUUUUAUUUGACAUGGUACGCCUCAAUUUAUUUAAAAAGGAAGUAUUCAACUAAAGCCAACCACGGAUGUUCAUAAUAUUUUCUUUCUAAGAUAACUUGAGAUUAUUUCAAGGCCAAGAGUUAUGGAAUCAUUAUAAAGAAGCAUGAAAUAGAUUAAUCGGUCAUGAAAUGGUGGGCUAACUACAUGUGUUUGAGCAAAAUUGGGCCAACAUAUGCAUGAAUGUGGAUAGGUGACGUCCUUAUUCUUUUGGCCUUAUAGCAUCAAAUACAUCUUAACUUACUCACGAAACAAAAUUACUCCUUUUAGCCCAAUAAACUAAUUGUCCAAGGACUUGACUCAACAGAUAACGGUCCAUUUCAAAUUCUUAUAGGCAAUUAAUACUAACAAAUCUGACCAAAGUGAAUUGUAGCCAUGAGGGAUAAAAUAAAAAAUGUAGACAAAAGAAAAAUUACGACGUCAUUCAUCAUCGUUAUAUGAACAAAUAUAAUCUAAAGAAAUCACAAAACAUGGAAUCUAAUUAUAAAUAAAAGAUGUCAAAAGCAGAACAUCUUAUGCUUAAUCAAAAUUCAAAUAUUAUUCCAGCUAAAAAAAAGUAUUUUCCUGAAAUAAAGAACAAGGAAAGGAUAGAGAAUGAACCUUGAAAUUGAAUCUGAAUCAUGAUUAAUCAAUAAUUUUGACAAGCAGAAAUAGACAAGACCAUGGACUAGCCCUCAGACGGAGUAUCGAAACUUGCCGGCAAACUCGAAAACGGACAGAAACAAACCAACUCGGAGCUAGCGACCUGCGAACGGGCUUUAACGGAACUCAAACUCAACUGAAACGCCGUUGUUUUUCGACGACAACCAAAGAACGAGCAGAAAAGCAGAAACUCCUCCUCACUGUUGUUGCUCUCGUUUUGGAAUGGAGGGAAAGCAGAACGGUGAGAUCGUUUUUUGUUGUCAAUGGCGCUGAAACUCAGAAACUUCUGAAGCUUUCUUCAUGUUUUUUUAAGAAGAAAAGACAACCGAUGGGGUGGUCUUGUAUUGAGAAUUUCGGCAGAACUUUUCUUGUACCUCUAGGGCUCUAGGCUAAUUUCUUGCCUUAGGUCCCUAGGCUUUUUGGCCUUUUUAGCUUUUUCCUUAGCGUUCUUUUUUGUAUUUCAGCUCUUUUUGUGUUUGUAUCUUUUUUUGCUUUUUUUUUUAUCUCUUUAGAAAAUGGCGGAUCUCAAGGUCAACAAAAACGACGCCUUCAGCUUUUUCCUUGAUUCACUCGAUGAAGAAGAACGAUUUUAGGCGUCAUUUUCUUGGUCUUCUUUGAUUUUGGAAGAAGACAAAACGGCGGAUCUAAUUUUUAGGGUCUCCCCUAUUUUAGGUGUUAGAUACUAUUAUAUAGGGGUAGAGAUUAGGUUAGGGGUAUGAGCCUAGGAAGUAUGGGCUUGAGAAUUAUGGGCAAGGUCCAAAAU
rnacentral:lncRNA from 1 species